rnacentral:rRNA from 1 species
UUAGAGUUUGAUCCUGGCUCAGAACGAACGCUGGUGGCGUGUUUUAUACAUGCAAGUCGAGCGAGGACAAUAGCUUGCUAUUGAGCCGAGCGGCGAACGGGUGAGUAACGCGUAAGCAAUCUGCCCCAUAGUCGGGAAUAACCGCGCUAACGUGCGGCUAAUGCCGGAUAUUGUGUCCUACCGCAUGGUAGGUUGACGAAAGAUUUAUCGCUAUGGGAUGAGCUUGCGUCCGAUUAGCUAGUUGGUAGGGUAAUGGCCUACCAAGGCAGUGAUCGGUAGCCGACCUGAGAGGGUGAUCGGCCACAUUGGGAUUGAGAUACGGCCCAGACUCCUACGGGAGGCAGCAGUAAAGAAUAUUGCGCAAUGGGGGGAACCCUGACGCAGCAACGCCACGUGUGGGAAGAAGCAUUUCGGUGUGUAAACCACUGUCGAAAAGGAAUAAUAGAAGAUUUCGGUCUUUUUGAAUGUACUUUUAAUAGGAAGCACCGGCAAACUUCGUGCCAGCAGCCGCGGUAAUACGAGGGGUGCAAGCGUUGUUCGGAAUUACUGGGCGUAAAGGGAGCGUAGGCGGAGCUUCAAGCAAUCUGUAUAAUCCUGGGGCCCAACCCCAGUCCUGCAGAUUGGACUGUAGCUCUUGAAUAGUUCAGAGGCAAGCGGAAUACCUGGUGUAGCGGUGGAAUGCGUAGAUAUCAGGUAGAACACCAAUGGCGAAGGCAGCUUGCUGGGGACCUAUUGACGCUGAGGCUCGAAAGUGUGGGUAGCAAACAGGAUUAGAUACCCUGGUAGUCCACACAGUAAACGAUGCAUACUGGGCGUCCGGAUUUAAUUCGGGUGCCGCAGCUAACGCGUUAAGUAUGCCGCCUGGGGAGUACGUACGCAAGUAUGAAACUCAAAGGAAUUGACGGGGGCCCGCACAAGCGGUGGAGCAUGUGGUUUAAUUCGAUGCAACGCGCAGAACCUUACCAGGGUUUAAAUGGGGAGUGACAGGCUUGGAAACAGGCCCUUCUUCGGACACUCUUCAAGGUGCUGCAUGGUUGUCGUCAGCUCGUGCCGUGAGGUGUCGGGUUAAGUCCCAUAACGAGCGCAACCCCUAUCGAUAGUUACCAGCACGUUACGGUGGGGACUCUAUCGAGACUGCCGGUGUAAACCGUGAGGAGGGUGGGGAUGACGUCAAAUCAGCACGGCCCUUACAUCCAGGGCUACACACGUGUUACAAUGGCCGGUACAAAGGGCAGCUACACAGCGAUGUGAUGCUAAUCUCCAAAUCCGGUCUCAGUUCGGAUCGAAGUCUGCAACCCGACUUCGUGAAGCUGGAUUCGCUAGUAAUCGCGCAUCAGCCAUGGCGCGGUGAAUACGUUCCCGGGCCUUGUACACACCGCCCG